AAUCCCAUGUCCAUAGGGACUUGAAGGACUCCAAAGGAUGUUACAGCAGUGGCAGAAACGGCUUGCUGGGCUUUUCUUGGCAAUUCAGGUGGUGAUGGGAAUUUGGAGCCACAAGUAUUACUGGAUAACUUCAGCACAAAUGUUCAAGAACCAACCUUGUUGCCUUGAGAGUUAAAAUAUAACCUGGUGACUCUGGCAUUGCCAGCCUGACGGAAGCAGACAAGCUGCUGAGGCCGUGUCCACUCAAACAUUCGCACGCUGCCAUCUUGGGCACCUGUGAGGUCUGCAACACGAGGGGAGACUGCAAGGAGCCCAUGGCACAGACCAUUCCUAAGAACCUGUAAGAGCUGGUAACAUACCACACUCGCUCCCGUGCUGGUCUGCCCGCUGCCCAGCCAUGGCAGGGAAGAAGG